rnacentral:lncRNA from 8 species
GCGGUGGUCGAAUGGUUCAAGCGCUCGGAGGAGACCUGGGACGCCGCCCAUGUGCACCUACAACGGGCCGUGAGGUGGAGUAAUAGACUCAAACACUAUUGUGAAGGUGUCAGGUUUCACAGUAGACCUGUGGGGGAUUGUGUGAGUGUGGAGACCUCUCCCCCAGUCACUCUUCUGAUUUAUUGCCCUGGUUACCUGGAGAGAGCCACAAAAGCCAGUUGUUUUUCUGUAGUUCAAUAGUAAUAUCCUCUAAAACUAUCUGAUGACAAACAAACUUUGCUGCCCUGUUUCCAAUUGUCCACAAGGCUAGGAGAACCUAUUCAAGUAAGUUUUUUGUCCUCAGAUAAAGAGCGCUAUGAAAGCCAGUCUUCAUAUGAAGAGGUCCCAAUGAAGAGCAGUGGUUCUCAGUCCUGGGGACUCAGAGGGGCACAUUUUGGUUUUUGCCUUCACACUGCACAGCUGAUUCAAAUGAUCAACUCAUUAUCAAGCUUCAGGUGGUAUUUAUGUAUUCAUUUGUGAUGCCAUCUUUGAUAUGAUCCUGUUAUUGUCACAUGCUACACAUGUACAUAUGUGUGCCCAUGAAUUUAUCAAUCCAAUGUCAUCAUUUGUUAUCAGGGAUAUUAUACUUUAGUAAUCCACAAUGACCUGGUGAUGUAACAGUCUAAUAAUUACAUUGUCUUCCAUAUUCCUACAGAGACCUUGUAACUGGAGAUUCCUUCAAAACGAUUGCCUACAGUUAACGUGUAGGGCACUGCAAGGUUGGGUGACCAGGGUCAUCUGGGACUGCCUCCUGGAGCAAUUCAGGUGUGUGAAGGCUA